CCUACGGGCGGCAGCAGUGAGGAAUAUUGGUCAAUGGACGCAAGUCUGAACCAGCCAUGCCGCGUGCAGGAAGACGGCUCUAUGAGUUGUAAACUGCUUUUGUACGAGGGUAAACGCAGAUACGCGUAUCUGUCUGAAAGUAUCGUACGAAUAAGGAUCGGCUAACUCCGUGCCAGCAGCCGCGGUAAUACGGAGGAUUCAAGCGUUAUCCGGAUUUAUUGGGGUUAAAGGGUGCGUAGGCGGUCGGAUAAGUUAGAGGUGAAAUCCCGGGGCUCAACUUCGGAAUUGCCGUUGAUACUGGUCGGCUAGAGAGUAGGAGCGGUAGGCGGAAUGUAUGGUGUAGCGGUGAAAUGCGUAGAGAGCAUACAGAACACCGAUUGCGAAGGCAGCUUACCGGGCUACUACUGACGUUGAGGCACGAAAGCGUGGGGAGCAAACAGGAUUAGAUACCCUAGUAGUC
rnacentral:rRNA from 1 species